GAAACAGUGGGAAGCAAAGAGCUUUCCUUCUCCCUUCCUGCUUGUAUCAACGUAAAGGUUGCCUACAGCUGCUGUUAUAAAGAUUCAGAUUUGAAUUAAACUCUCUGAAGAGGACACAUGAGCUGGAAGUGGACAAUUUGGGAGGGAAAUACAGAUAUUCCAGUGUAUGGAACAGAAGACACAAAUCUGUAAGAAACUUGGCUACAUUAGUUGCUGUUCUCAAUCACAAAGUCAAUUCACAUGACAGAGGAGGAGCCUUGUCAUAUGACCAUGAACUUCUCUUUAGAAAGCUAUGAAUGGUGUUAAAAAUGGGUUACUACAAAACUUGAGGCUGAAGUGGAACAGAGGUCUGGCUGGUCAAACACAAGAUUCUACAAAUGAAGUCUCAAACCAUGAACUGGGAAUGACAUAUCACUGAGAAAAAGAGUAAAGAAACAUUGUUAAAUUUCCUCCCACUGUUCUACAGACGGGACAACAGGUCGUCUGAGGAACACAUGGAUAAAACGCAGUUGGAAAUGUGUGCAGAAAAUAAGAGGCUUGUGUCUGUGAGGUGUUGUCCCAUAACUGUAGCAUGUGAUCUUUUCAUACAAACUAUCAAUGACUAAAAAGCAUUUGAGAAACUGAAAUGCAAUAGGCAGUCUUGGUUUGGAAUCCUGCCAUGGAAUUGUCCCAGGUAUAUUGCCUUCUUUUAAAUCACGCUUUGCUGAUGGGUGUCAUCUAAAACAAAGGGAACAGAAAAACUAUUUGUGGUAACAUCCAUAAAAUAUUAAGACCUCUCUAGAUACUCACAAAGAUAUGAGCUGUACUUCAAGGACUCUGUAAAUUGAAAUCGAUCACAGAUAAAUAAAAAUGCUAGAAGGAUGGAAGAAGAUCUGGGUACUAAUUUUAUCUUGCCUGGCAGUAUAUAUAAUGAAAUGCACUAGAGCAAGCAACUUCAAUAAGAAGUGACAUUUUGCCUAUAAUAUUAAAAAUGAAGCAACAAUUCCCAACCUUUUCCUUCUAAGGAAAAGAAACCACUACAAUGUAGAUUUAUGGAUAAGUGGUGUUUUUCCAGGCCAUCUGCAUCUACAUGAUGUUCUUCAAUAGGAACUGAUUUUACGAUACCCAGAGCUAUUGUCCCUUAAACUGUGUGUAGGAGAUUUCUUCAUGCACAGGUCCCUAAGAGCCUUCUUUAGUGACCUCUCAGGCCUCUGUCUGUUUUAUAGACAGUCAGGCUGUUAUGGGAUGCUUUUUUGUUGCAGCAGUAAUGCACAGAAGCAGCCUCAUGGAUGUUAAUUUAAAUGUGAUUUAGGGGGUCGGAUGGGAAAUACCACCAGUUGUACUGUACUUCAAACUCAGUCUAGUUCAAUAUGAAUGCUUAUAACUGGCAAACUUCAGCCAACCUCACAGGGAAAGGCAUGAUGAAAAUGUCCUUCUUCCCAUCUCUCUGUAUCUGUCCCUUCCUGGGUAUGCCCCAUCCCCAGCUUCCCCUCUGACAUUGGUGGAAAAGACCACUGUGUUCUUCCUUUUGGACCAGGACUGUCUGGUCAUGUGGGGAAAUCAAUAAACCUCUCUCUCUUUACACACUGUUGCAAAGCUUCAUAGAAAGGCUGGACUCACGGAAGCCAGAAUGUUUCUUCCCAAUGUUCCACAGAAUGAUGUUAUCAGAGGCAAAUGUGUUUAUCUAGUGUAUAAAACCAUACAUUGGCAUUGUCACAGAGGCUGUAAGGAACAGAGGAACAUGGUCAGAGUUGGCUGCCAGACAAAUAAUUGUUUGGACCUAACUUACAGAAAGAGAGUCAUAGUAUUCAAUUUCAAUACCCUCAAACAUAAAUAUAUUAUCUUCUUGCAAAUAUGGUGAAUGUAUUUGGAUGCUUAUCUCGAUGUGCACCAAUAAGAUGUCUCCUACAAUUCACGUGGGAACGAAUGUAAAGUUCACUAAAAUCUUUGUGUUGCUUUCAUUGGUCUAUGAAUCAGAUCUCCAAAAAAUACUGGUGAACUUUCAAAGUUCUGAACUCGUCUCAUUUAAAAGCAGAAAUAUUUCUCCAUUUUCAUGGGACCCUACCUUCUUACUAAUUCUAGAAAUUAUUCUGAGGUCCUGGAAGAAAUAGUAUAGUUUGGGAUUCUGUUCAUUUCCAUUCUGCUUGGACUGGCAUGUAUCGACGAUUCUGUUGAUAGCCUUCUCUUUUAUAGCAUUUCUGUUUACAGGUUAUCAAACAUGUACCCUGAGAUUAUAAGCAAAAUUCUCAAGUAUUUGAUAAACCUGACCCUGUGGGAAUAUCUGUAAAGUCUUUUGAAUAAUUUACUGAAAAAAGCAAGAUCAUUUGCAUCCUGAGGCUAAUUUGUCUGCUAUACAGAUAAGGUUUCUGUCAUAUAUUGAUCAGGAAACAAAGGAACUAGGGUAAGUAAGUGCGUAAAACCAGGAGAAUAAAUAAAUAAACAAAUAUUAAUUAUAUAUGAAUGGAAAAUGGUAUGCUUUCAUCUAGAGAACUAAUGUAAUUAUCAGAUAAUCUUAAAGAAGAAAUACGAUUGAAAGUAAACAGAAAGAAACAAAAACUUUGGCUUAGAUCUUCAGACAUACUUAACCAUGUUCAUUAUUGGUCUGUAGUCUUUAACUAUAUAUUACCUAUAAAAUUGCCUGUGCUGGUUUUGGCCGAGGUAGAGUUAAUUUUCUUCAGCAUAGAUAGUAUAGUGUUAUGUUUUGGAUUUGUGUUGAAAACAGCGUUGAUAUUAAAGGAAUAUUUUAGUUAUUGCUCAGCAGUGCUUCAACAGAGUCAGAGGUUUUUUCUGCUUCUCACCUCACCCCACCCAGUGAGUAGACAGGGGGUGCACGAAAAGCUAGGAGGGAGCACGGCCAGGAUAGCUGACCUCAGAUGACUGAAGGAAUAUUCCAUACCAUAUGAUGUCAUACUCAGUAUAUAAAGCUGCAUGUGUGGCUUUUGCUUUACCUAUUAAAUUUGGCUUUACCUCAACCAACGAGUUUUCUCACUUUUAGCCUUCCAAUACCCUAUGCCAUCUCACUGUGAAGGUGUGAGCAAGUGGUUGUGUGGUGCUUAGUUGCCAGCUGGUGUUAAACCACAACGUCGUCUAGGAUGUCUAUUUUUUCCAGCGAUAUGCAGGUAGAGUAAUUGAAUCCCUAAAGCCAAAAACUCCACCAUAAGCAAAAAUUUUGCUAAAUAUGGAACAGCCUUCUUACAUAAAAAGAAACUUAAUUAACUGUAACUUCCCAGAAAAUGCUCAGAAUCUUGGGCAAUUUAGGGUCAUUGACCAAACAAGCAUGCCUCCUGAACUUUCUUCUGGUGAGGUUUCCAGUGAGAGCACCCUAAGCUAUGGAAGGCUAGGGAUCAGCACUUUAUCACAAGGCACUGAUGCAACUUCCAUCUCAUGUCACAUGUAUCUCUUUAGACGUUGGACAGUUGUCCAGGUUUGGGUUACAAAUCCCAUAUCACAUACAUUUUUAUAUACUCAUUGACAACUAUUUCUGAUCAAUUAGUUAUUAAAACACCAAAACCACAUCCCUUUCUCCUCCAUUUCAUAUUACGUAGUUGGGAUUAGGGUAUUUACCAGAUUUCCACUUCCUCUACUACUGUUGGUGGGGAUCCUGGAAAUAUAAUGAGUUCCAAGAACCUGGCAGCAGGACCCUUCAGAUUUAGCUGUUGGAAUGCUUAAAUGCUUUUGAGCAGCUUGUCUCUGUGCAUCUGCUAGUUGGGAUAAACUUUUGAAAAACUCAAGAAGAUUUCUUUCUUAAAAAAGGUUUCAAGAUAUGAAAUUACUUGACUAUACAGAAGGGAAGCAUUGAGAAUUUACAGAGCUCAUUGCUGCAGUCUCUGGUGCAGAAAACGAAACAAAUCAGGAUAGUCUCUGGAAAAGACUGCAUAAUCCACUACCUUUUCUAAUAGCACAUUCAUAGAUAUUAAUAGUAUAUUUAAUAGUAUUCAUAGAUAGGAACUAGAUCAUGAAGGUUCUUGUUAGUUUAUCACUUGGGUUAAUAGAGUAAAAUCCAAUGGGAAGUAAUUUGGAACUUUACUGAGCAAAAGCCAAGUAAGAAAUUAGUAAAACCUGCAGAACAAGUUUUUACAAAUAUAAAAGCAGUUGAAGGACUAUAAGUUACAACUGGAAGACAAUGUGACUGGAGCCAGAAGAAAUCCAUUUAAUGCAGGAAGACCUUGUUAUAAAAGAAUGUGCAGAUGAAUACCAGAAAGAAAUUGAAUCCUCUCAUAUACUAUGCUGUUUAAAUUGAUAGAUGUGUGGAAGCUACUGUCGUUACCAUCCUGCUUUGUCUAACACUGGCUACUGCCAGAGGCAGGAUGCUAAAGAAAGUCUGGUACCCUAGAUGUGGACACAAAUCUGAUGCCUGUUGGGAAUGAUUGCUCCCUGGAAGAGGAGAAAAGUCAGUUCAACUUAAGAAGUGGUGCUAGUUAGGGAGUGACUCUACAUGUGCCUAAAGCAUGCUUUAAUUCCUUGUCUUCUUAGCCAAAGUGUUAUGUUCUUUUGCAGCACAUUUCUGUGAUAAAUAGCUCUGAUGAACGUGAUAAAUUCGGUGGUAAAACUGGAAGAAGAGAGAACAUAAGCUGGUAAUUCUGAAAUUCUGCUUCCACUUCAAACUGCCAUCUUAGAAUUCAUUGUCAAAAGCCAUGGAUGGCCUUAGAUUGAGCAAUGUUGUUGAAUACCAUGGAGGAACUGGUUAGCAAAAGGAGGGGUUUAAGCCAUUACGCUUAGAAGUAUUUUUCAAUCGAGUGGAGUCCUUGUUUAUUUUAUUGAGAAAAGAAGUCAGUUUAUUCGGAGGGGGAAAAAAAAGGCGUCGGUUUUAUCUAUUCAGGAGGCAAAAAGAAGCUAUGUCAAAGGGAUAACUGUCACACUCACCUAAUGCAUGAUCUGACUGAAAGGGAAAAGGGUUGCACCAAGUAUGAUCCUGGUGGCUUAUGCUUCUGACAAAUGUCUCCAUCUUUGAGAUUGCACUGCUUCUUCUGACAGUAAUUACUGCUGAGGCUCCAGAGAUGCUAUAUAUUAUACAUCAAAUGUGCCACUUUUUCCACCACUCUUUUGGAAUUUCUCUGAUUUCUGGGAUCUGCUAUAAAAUAAGCUGCAUUCAACCGCACUGCGUACCUGUUGUUGACAUCAGCAUCUUGAAGAAAAAGAAGAAAAAAAGCAAGAAAAAAAAGCUGCUACUUUAUCUUUGAAGUGGCCAAGCUACAAGGGGAAGUAGUUAAUUCCCCAUGGGUAGGCACAAACAUUCCUUCACUUGUGACAUGUGUAAAGGUUGCUGUUCAGAGCAGACUCUUUUCAGGACCCAUUUCUUCUGGGCACUUACAUUUCUAAACCCCUCAAGAGUGCCGUACUUGUGAAAAAGAGAGUGGAAGCUCUGGUGUUCUGGUCUAAGAUUAUACCAGCAUUUUUGUGAACAAACUUUGGAUCAAUCCAGAGUUGGAAGUGAACAUGAAAAGUGUCAGUAACUCUUUUAUAAGUCUUUUUGUGGUGCAUAUGAUUGACCCACAUUAAGAUGUACAAUAGCAUGAAAGAGUGUUAGUAAUCAGCGCUAAUGAAUACAUGUACCUACCUGAUUCAUAUACUGGGCAUUACCCCUCAAUAAUGCUUUUGUUUUGCAUUCAUUAAAAUUCCCAUCAUGACACAAAAUGCUGAACAUUUACUAUAACAAAAACAAAAGCAAACAAAAAAAUGAGACACAUUUAUUGCAAAUUUCAGUCAGAAAAGAUAUAAAUAAGGAAAUUGCAUAGCACAGGCACAUUGUCCCAAUCCCACUCUACUUUAGUUCAUUAAUUAAUGUUUUUAGAAAAGAUAUUUACAGUGAGACCUCAGGCAAAUACUCGGAGAGCUUGAGGCAUAAUCCUCUUCUGUCCUCCCCUCUUUCCCUUCCCCCACCUGCGAAGGAGACUGGUUACUCAUUUCUUUUUUUCCUUUAGAGUCUAGAAAGGACCAAGAGAAGUUCAGUCUUCAUGGUUUAGAUUUGUAUAAACUAUUUAAUAAAUCUACUUCUCAAACGAACUUAAUGUAGAGCCAGAAUUGACAUUUGCUUGCUGAAUUGUGGUAGAAUUAUUAUUAAAGUGUUUUCAA